rnacentral:tRNA from 1 species
CAGGGUGUGGGAUAGCCUGGUAAUCCACCUGCUUCGGGCGCAGGACGUCGUCGGUUCAAAUCCGACCACCCUGA